rnacentral:rRNA from 1 species
GUCGAGAAUAAUUCACAAUGGACGAAAGUCUGAUGGUGCAACGCCGCGUGGAGGAUGACGGUCUUCGGAUUGUAAACUCCUGUCAUCCGGGAGUAAGACCUGGCUGUGAAUAGCAGACAGGGUUGAUAGUACCGGAAGAGGAAGGGACGGCUAACUUCGUGCCAGCAGCCGCGGUAAUACGAAGGUCCCGAGCGUUGUUCGGAAUCACUGGGCGUAAAGGGGGCGUAGGCGGCGUGGUAAGUCAGAUGUGAAAUCCCGGGGCUCAACCCCGGAACUGCAUCCGAUACUGCCGUGCUAGAGGAUUGGAGAGGUAGCUGGAAUUCUUGGUGUAGCAGUGAAAUGCGUGGAGAUCAAGAGGAACACUCGUGGCGAAAGCGAGCUACUGGACAAUAUCUGACGCUGAGGCUCGAAGGCCAGGGUAGCGAAAGGGAUUAGAUACCCUAGUAGUCC